rnacentral:rRNA from 1 species
UACGGGGGGGGCAAGCGUUGUUCGGAAUUACUGGGCGUAAAGGGCUCGUAGGCGGCCAAUUAAGUCAGACGUGAAAUCCCUCGGCUUAACCGGGGAACUGCGUCUGAUACUGGAUGGCUUGAAUCCGGGAGAGGGAUGCGGAAUUCCAGGUGUAGCGGUGAAAUGCGUAGAUAUCUGGAGGAACACCGGUGGCGAAGGCGGCAUCCUGGACCGGCAUUGACGCUGAGGAGCGAAAGCGUGGGGAGCGAACAGG